CGCGGGCGCGGUGUGGGCGAGGGCGAGGGGGCGGCGCGGCCGGCGGGGAGGCCUGCGGGUGAUCUCACAAAACCUCGGUCUCCGCUUCCGCAUCGGAGAGAUGGGCUCACACGCGGACGUGCUCCCGGGUCCGCCAGCGGCUGGGCUGAGGGCCUGCGGGGCUCCUUCGCACAUGUUCCGUUUGUAGCGCCCCGAAAAGAUGCCGGCAGAGUGGCCUGCUGCUUCCGGUGGGCAGUUCCGUGCGUCGGGACUAGGCGGGUGUGUGCCGGGCUGCGGGGCGCCCUCCUGGUGCCCGUGCGGGAGCCCGGUGGCGGGUGGGCGGGCCUCUGGGGAAGGGCACCGUCCUGAAAGCCUCCCCAGACACCGCAGCCCUGUGGGACCAGGUGGAGCUCACUCCGAACCCGGCAGCCCGGCGGACCCUUCCUUACUGCCGCAGCCGGGGAGCCAGGUGGAGCCCGCCCUAAUCCCGGAGCCUGCCUCUGGGUCAGGUGGGGCCCUCCCUUAAUCCCGGAGCGGUGCCUUUUAAUCCUGCAGCGCUGGGAGGUAGGCCGGGCACUGCCCUCCCUGCUUUGUUGAUGAACUAGGCAGGACUACAAGUUAAUAGAAACGGAGAUUCCCAUUGCAGGUCUCGGCUGGGCGGCCACAUUCAGGAAUACACCGCAGCACGCGUUCUUUUUUAGAGAUUUUUUUUUUUUUUUUUUUUUUUUUAGAGAAUUAGGGGAGAAAGAGAGAAGCAUCCAUGUGAGAGCAAAGUACAACCCCCUAUCCGGGAUCAAGCCAGGAACCUGGGCCUGGACCCUGACCUGGAAUGGAACCGGCAACCUUUGCAUUAGACCUCUCCCAGCUGAAUGAACCGCAGUGGCCAGGGCAGCACGCUUUCAAGUCACAGCGCUCUGUGCAUGGGAAGUCAGAUAAAUUAGAGUUGUCAGAGCUGGCGAGGUCUGUCAUGCCACUGGGGAGCCAGCUUACAUUGUGGAGUUUGGGUCUUCAGAUGCCCAAGAGUUUUCUUUACUGUGAGCUCUUCAGGGACCCAGCCUUCCCAUCAGAGUAGAAGGGAGUGUGUGUGUGUGUACACCGUUAAGAUAAAUACUGUAUAGACUAGGUACUAAAUAAAAGACUGUAAACUUGGGGGCGUUAGGUCAGUAUUCAGUACACCUAACGAAGUAAGUGGUCAUUAAUCCAUGGAACAAUGCAUCUAACUCUAUAAGGAUAAGGAGCCAGAAAUUUCUCCGGAGUGAGUGCUCAGGGUGAAUCAGGGUCCUGGUGCCUGGUGGCUGCUGUUCUGCCCCACCCACACCAGCUUCUCCCCAGCACUUUCCCAGUUGUGUUCAUGGAGUACAUCCCCUCCCUGUUUACGCUGCCUGACGCUGGAUGCCCAGGAAAUGCUGGCUAAGGAGAAAACGCCAUGAGUCACUGACAGAAUGCUGACUUUGAGCGACAGACGUUAGCUCAGAGCUGGUGCUCUAAGGGAGCACUCCACACUUUGGGAGAUUCAUUUUUGGAGAGAACGUUAUGAAGAAAGACAAAAGUCUUCCUUUCAGGGCAUUGAAGAAGGAAAAGAAGUCUUAAUUGGAUGAUUACAUGUAAUUGGAAGCCCUGCUUGGGAUCUGUUGGAAGCUUUGCAUUGACCCCUUCUUAAAGGAAUUGAUUAACUAGGAACUACAGCGUUGUAGGAUUCACACUUUAAUUGGCUCUGUCGGGAGGGAACCAAGUGGUGGUGUAGGAUUGAUCACCCAGCCAGUUUUCCUCUCUCAGACCUGCAUCUCUGUAUUCUUGAUGCGGGAUGAUUUUGUGUUAAAGGGAUUUUGAACUAUGAAAGUAUUUUCCUUUAGCCAUCAUUAAUCUAAGGUCUUUCCUUUAAGCUAUAAGGUGUAUAAUUGUAAGGAAUUUAAUGCAAGUCUGUUUCACUACUUUUCACCAAGCUCCAAAAGUUAUGACACAGGGACAAGAUGGAAGGUCUCUGCUCAUGCUAUCCAUAGUCCCGGAACUGCCUGUUUUCUCUUCCUGUCACAUGCCCCUGAGUUCCUCUUGUAUUUUGAAAAUCUUUGUUGACUUAUAUUGAAAGGACAUUACAAAAUGAAGAAGUAACUGGGAGGCAGCCCGCCAUGUGGUUUCAUCCCCAAAAUGUCUUCGAGCACUAGAAUUCCCACCCCCUCCCCCAAACCUAGUGUCAUAGUGAAAACAGUUCAGCUGGUUGAGCCACAUUGAGCCCUUGUGGGUUGUUUUUAUUGAAAUGUCUAUUUACCUCUUGGCCCCAUUGAUUUGAGACCCUGUAGGGGCAGCCUGGCUAUUGGUCUAACUGCCCCAGGAGGCUGUGUACCUGCCUUUGUGAUGGAGAUAA